CCUCCCCGUCACUGGGUAAAGAGGCACCUGUUUGGUGGUGAUAGUCUUAGAUCAGGCGGGGGCAGAGCAGCCCAGUCCCUGUUCAUUCCAGCCCGAUGCCUGGGAAGUGGCCGCAGCUGGUUCAUGCCUCGGACACACGU